rnacentral:lncRNA from 1 species
UUGGUGUUCAACAAAAUAAAGGAAAAGCUUGUUGGACGAGUUUAUUUUAUGGGAUCUGGUGCUUUACCCUUGUACCCUGAUGUCAUGGACUUCCUUAGAGUGUAAGUUGGCUAUCUACUAUCUUAUAGAAUGCAAUUUAAUAAUUUUUCAUUUUUUUUUUUCUCAAGUGUUGUUAAGACCUCUGCAUAUGUAACGAAAAUCGCAGGUGCUUUGGCUGUUAAGUAAUUGAAGGAUAUGGUACGACAGAGACUUCUUGUGCCAUGAGCAUGAUGGAUGAGGGUGACAACUUAUCUGGCCACGUCGGGUCCUCUAAUCCUGCUCGUUGUGAGUUUACUAGACUUACCAUACAAAAAUGUAUAUAA